CGGGAGAGGUGCCUGCACGGAACUGCAGACGCAGUCGGCUGUGGUGGAAUUCAUCAUCGACCACACAGACGUCCUCUUCUGCUCCACAUCUGGACCUGACAUCGCAGAUGGAGCAGGGCACAGUUCUCUCUCAGGGCCCCAGUCUGUGCGGGCCUCUUCUGCCACAGAGCUGCUCAGCCUGGAGGAGGCGCAGGCACGGAGGCGAGGCCACAGCAGCUCUCCUGUCGUUGUGACACAGAGCAGGGACGUGGAAGUGGAAGAAGGCCCCACAGCUGUACGGGAGAAAUUCCACACAGUCAUUGACUUUCCAUCUGAAAGUGCCAAAGCUUGCUGAAACUCAGUUAAACUGAUGGUGCCUGAAGUGUUGCAGUGAAUCUCCACUCCCUUUGCACUGUGAGACAGAACUCACAUUCAGUUGCCCGCCGGGCUGAGUUUAGCCACACAAGGCUGGCAUUCCCUCCUUGCUGGGCAGGCAGUCACGAGAUGCAUAAAGCCACGCUGACGUCUGUCCUGGCCUGUGCUGGCUGUACCUGGAAACGUUGGGGUUUUCCGGACUUCAGGGCCACGUGCUUGAAU